rnacentral:rRNA from 1 species
AUGAUAGCCGGGCUGAAGACUCUGCUUGACUAGCUGAGAGGAGGUGCAUGGCCGUCGUCAGUUCGUACUGUGAAGCAUCCUGUUAAGUCAGGCAACGAGCGAGACCCACGCCAACAGUUGCCAGCAUGUCCUCCGGGAUGAUGGGGACACUGUUGGGACCGCCUCUGCUAAAGAGAGGAAGGAAUGGGCAACGGUAGGUCAGCAUGCCCCGAAUUAUCCGGGCUACACGCGGGCUACAAUGGUCAGGACAAUGGGUAUCGACACCGAGAGGUGGAGGCAAUCUCCUAAACCUGUCCUUAGUUCGGAUUGUGGGCUGCAACUCGCCCACAUGAAGCUGGAAUCCGUAGUAAUCGCGUUUCAAAAUAGCGCGGUGAAUAUGUCCCUGCUCCUU